CUCACGUGUGCUGUCCCCCUGGCCACGUCUGUCUUUGUCUCACCUGACGUGCUGUGCCUCUCCUGCCAGGGCUCUGUCCUGUCUGCCGCCACUACCGCCGCAUGGCCCUGCUCGGCCUGCAGCCCGCUCGCCGCUUCGCUCCCUCAGAGACCCCGCGCCAGCGGUCCGUAUUGGCCACGGUCAUAUUUCUCUGCUUCUUUGCACGCCUGAUAAUUUUUAACUUGAUAUCUACAUUGUGAAUUUCACCUUGUUAAUUUGUUUCUGUUCUACCAACC
rnacentral:lncRNA from 1 species